UACGGGAGGCAGCAGUGGGGAAUAUUGCACAAUGGGCGCAAGCCUGAUGCAGCCAUGCCGCGUGUAUGAAGAAGGCCUUCGGGUUGUAAAGUACUUUCAGCAGUGAGGAAGGUGGUAGUGUUAAUAGCACUAUCAUUUGACGUUAGCUGCAGAAGAAGCACCGGCUAACUCCGUGCCAGCAGCCGCGGUAAUACGGAGGGUGCGAGCGUUAAUCGGAAUUACUGGGCGUAAAGCGCAUGCAGGUGGUUUGUUAAGUCAGAUGUGAAAGCCCGGGGCUCAACCUCGGAAUUGCAUUUGAAACUGGCAGACUAGAGUACUGUAGAGGGGGUAGAAUUUCAGGUGUAGCGGUGAAAAUGCGUAGAGAUCUGAAGGAAUACCGGUGGCGAAGGCGGCCCCCUGGACAGAUACUGACACUCAGAUGCGAAAGCGUGGGGAGCAAACAGGAUUAGAUACCCUGGUAG
rnacentral:rRNA from 1 species